CAGCAAAAGAAAACUGUUUCAAAUUAAAAAUUAACAAGUUCAAGUUGACCAAGGUCUACGGGAACUAACACAUUGGAGCCCAUAUGUUUUCAAAACAGAGCAAGCUUUUCUUGAAAGGCGGUUUAAAAUUUUAGAGUAAAUACAAAUAUAUAAACUAUAAACUACGAUUGGUCAUUUGGGGACUACAUCUCUGAUUGAAUUCAACUGAAAAACAAAACCUAAUCGGAGUUAUCUGCAUUGUGUGGGUCACCUGAAUAGGUUCUUUGACUCCACCUGACCAUGAGUGAAUCAUGUAUUGUUGUGCGCUGGUUCUGAUCUGAUCCCGCUAACGAGUCGGGAGAGCAUUGGGAGUGGUUCAAGAGGCCACUGGCCACGGGCAGAUAUUGGUUAUCGACUGAUCGGACCUGGCGGAAUCAUGAGUGCCUUUUGUUGACGCAAAGUUGGAAACCAAAAUCGAAGGAAUUAAGCCCCCUCUCGGCGCCCCAUCCCUUUGGCCCCUUGAGAGAUAUAAUCGAUCGGAAAAAUACGCAUCCUACAAUACGACAAUGAAGGUGCCCUAUCUGUUGAAUUUCUGUAAACACUAUCUUCAUUUUAAUUUCAUGGACAACUUUUUCUAGUUCUUCCCAUUUGCUGCAACGACCCCAUGUCGACACUGAAGGGUAUUCCCACGAAACGUGCGUAGAUCACAACUGCGUCGGUUGGAGAUCUUUAGCCACCCGAUCGAGGGGUAGCGACUGCCCUUUUCCAGCACCACCCCCUACUUGUGCCCACUCUCCCGGUCGAAUUCAGUUCUGUCAUUCCGAUUCCUUUGGCUUAUCAGUUGUCACGUACCUGGCUAAAGUUAUCUCUGUCGCACAGCCCAUACCAACUUGAUCUUGAUGUGAAGUACCGCAGGUGGAGCCCAGGAACCCGAAGGGGAGCUGCAGGGAUGGUCACGGCCAGAACCUUGAGUGGAGCCUGUGUUUACCCAGAGCUAUGUCGAAUCUUAUCGCAGGGGAACUUGUCCGAAAUCUCUAUUUUUAAUUAGCGAAUAGCUCGCUUCUGCAAUCCGUUCGAUUCCCGAAAACAGCAAUCGGCGUGGUAUUUGUUUUUCAAAAGAUUAACAAGGUCCAACGAGCAGUAACAAAUGCUUUUAAAAUGUUAAACUUUAUAACUCUUUUUGUUCUUUUUUA